CACGUAGGGGCCAAGCGUUUGUCCGGAUUUAUUGGGCGUAAAGAGCUCGUAGGCGGUUCGACAAGUCGGGUGUGAAAACUCCGGGCUCAACCCGGAGACGCCACCCGAUACUGUCGUGACUGGAGUCCGGUAGGGGAGUGGGGAAUUCCUGGUGUAGCGGUGAAAUGCGCAGAUAUCAGGAAGAACACCCGUGGCUAAGGCGGCUCUCUAGUACGGUACUGACGCUGAGACGCGAAAGCGUGGGGAGCGAACAGG
rnacentral:rRNA from 1 species